rnacentral:lncRNA from 1 species
GCACCAGGCUCAGCUGUUGUCAGUGUUUCCUGACUUCUCUCAACCUUUUCUUCUGUUUGCCCAUAGGCCUGCUUUAAGGCUGGUCGGUUCUUCAGCAAAACAAGAGGAGGAGACAGGCUCCGGCUCAGAUCUCUGGAGGCUGGACCCCUGCAGUCGGCUGUAGGGCUUCAUACCACCUGAACAAAGAAAGGAGUGGAAAUUGCAUCACACCAGUGCAGGUUUGUAUGGAUGUGGGUUCACCUUUGGGUGGAGUAGUGGAGACCAGCUGGGUGAUUAGGG